UUGAAUAAAUGAGAGUGCUCAAAGCAGGCUACUCUUAAAAAUAAAGCCCGAAUGUUACCUGCAUGGAAUGAUGGAAGAUGAUCUCGGUUCCAUUUUAUUGGUUGUGGGAAUCCGAGUUAAUGAUAAAGAGGGACUGUCGGGGGCAUCCGUACUACGACGCGAGAGGUGAAAUUCAGUGACCGUCGUAGGACGAACAACAGCGAAAGCAUUUGCCAAGAAUGUCUUCGUUGAUCAAGAACGAAAGUUAGAGGAUCGAAGGCGAUCAGAUACCGCCCUAGUUCUAACCCUAAACGAUGCUGACUAGCAAUUCGCCGUCGUUAUUCCCAUGACGUGGCGAGACGCCCCCGGGAAACCUCAAGUCUUUGAGUUCCGGGGGUAGUAUGGUUGCAAAAGUGAAACUUAAAGGAAUUGACGGAAGGGCACCACCAGGAGUGGAGCCUGCGGCUUAAUUUGACUCAACACGGGAAACCUGACCAGGCCCGGACACCAGAAGGAUUGACAGAUUAAGAGCUCUUUCUCGAUUUGGUGGGUGGUGGUGCAUGGCCGUUCUUAGUUGGUGGAGUGAUUUGUCUGGUUAAUUCCGGUAACGAACGAGACUCUGGCCUACUAAAUAGUCGACGUGGGUUUCUGUGCAUGGGCCCCGUUCGACAAUGUCUUCUUAGAGGGAUGAGCAGCGAGUCUAGCUGCAGGAGAUUGAGCAAUAACAGGUCUGUGAUGCCCUUAGAUGUCCUGGGCCGCACGCGCGCUACACUGAAUGGGUUAGCGGGUUUUCCUUCUCCGAGAGGAGCGGGAAAUCGCGUGAAAACCAUUCGUGAUAGGGAUUGGGGCUUGCAAUUGUUUCCCAUGAACGAGGAAUUCCCAGUAAGCGCAAGUCAUCAGCUUGCGUUGAUUAAGUCCCUGCCCUUUGUACACACCGCCCGUCGCUACUACCGAUUGAAUGAUUUAGUGAGGCCUUCGGACUGGCGGUCUUGGAGCGGGAUCUCUGCUUUGUCCAGCAAUGGGGGAGCAGGAACCUACCAUGAUAGCUGGAAAGAUGUCCAAACUUGAUCAUUUAGAGGAAGUAAAAGUCGUAACAAGGUUUCCGUAGGUGAACCUGCGGAAGGAUCAUUAA
rnacentral:rRNA from 1 species